rnacentral:rRNA from 1 species
UACAGAGGUCCCAAGCGUUGUUCGGAUUCACUGGGCGUAAAGGGUGCGUAGGUGGCGAGGUAAGUCGGAUGUGAAAGCUCGGAGCUCAACUCCGAAAUGGCAUUGGAAACUACCUUGCUCGAGGGUUGGAGGGGGGACUGGAAUGCUUGGUGUAGCAGUGAAAUGCGUAGAUAUCGAGAGGAACACCUGCGGCGAAGGCGGGUUGCUGGGCUGAUACUGACGCUGAGGCGCGAAAGCCAGGGGAGCGAACGGG